rnacentral:lncRNA from 1 species
UUUGAUUUUAAUGAAAUUAACAUUAGCUUAUGUGAUAUAUUUAAUUAUAUAAAAUUAAAUUAAAUUAAAUUUAAUUAUUAAUAAAUAUGAAAUCCUAAUUGUAAGACCCAAAUUUUGCCCAUUACUCAAUACCCAAUACAACCCAUUACAAACCCAAACCAAAACACUAAACUAAACCCACAAUUAGGCCCAAAAUUAAAAAAAAACCCUAAGCCUAAUAGGCCCACAGCCUAAACAACUCCAGCAGAAGUAAAACCCCUAAUGCGCCGCUGCCUCCUUUGCGCUCGUCGCCCGUGGUCUGUCACCACCAACUCCUCUGCCAUCCCUGCAAAAGAAGACCAAAAUAGCAAAGAAACAAUGGUAAGCAAAAGAAAAACAAUACAGAAAAGUGAUUGAAUAGUAACAAAGCAGAGAAAUAAGAAAAGUAAAAAAGAAAAAAAACUAUGACAUGUACAAAAGGCUAUAAAAGCUGAAUUUACCAUGUAAUUUAGAAAAAGGAGCAAUAUUUGCAAGAGGAUUUUCAUUUCGUUUCUCUUUGAUUUCUCUCGGGUUUAUUUUAUUUUAUUUUCUCUUAUAUAUGAACACUCAUAUGCAAAAAAAAUCAAUACAAACUCAGAAAGCAAUCAAAAAAUAAAAGUUUCUAAAGAAGGUAGUGCUUUUAUCUAUUGUUCUUUCUUUUUUAUCGUUAUUUUUCCUUAUUUUCAUUAGCUAGAAGAAAGAAAAUACAGAAAUGGGAGGAAAAGAGAGCAAAAGUCUCACCUGGUGGUUCGUCCAUCGCCACCACGGUGGCUUUUUCGCCGGAAUCGAUGUUCUGAUGAAGGGAGAGUGAGAGAGAGUUGAAGGUUAUUUUUUUUCCUGAAAGUGUUGAAAAUUAAAAAAAAAAACAAAUUUUAUUUUAAAUAGUGGUACCAAAACGGUACCGUUUUGGCUCUAAACCCC